rnacentral:rRNA from 1 species
UACGGAGGGUGCGAGCGUUGUCCGGAAUCAUUGGGCGUAAAGGGCGCGUAGGUGGCCCGGUCAGUCUUUGGUGAAAGCGCGGGGCUCAACCCUGCGUCGGCCAGGGAUACUGCCGCGGCUCGAGCACUGUAGAGGCAGGCGGAAUUCCUGGUGUAGCGGUGAAAUGCGCAGAUAUCAGGAAGAACACCCGUGGCGAAGGCGGCUCUCUGGGACGGUACUGACGCUGAGACGCGAAAGCGUGGGGAGCGAACAGG